ACUUUAAUGAAUUGUUCAUUAUUCAUGAAUUAAUUAUUUGAAGCUUAUAAUAAAGACAGGAGGUAGUAAUAUGCUGUGAUAUGCAGUUGCUCUCUCUGUUAUGUUUCCUCUCUUGCUUUCUAUGUUCAGCAGGGUGGUUGGUUUAAAAUCUGUGGCAUAGCAAUUGGCAUAUUUCAUUGAAUUAUCACAAUAUCCCCCCUUUUUUUCCCUUGCCUUCUUGACUUGAUUUUAAUCAUGCGCUUAGUAUUUUAGGCUGUCUUAAUGUCACAAUUCUGCUUGACCACAAGCCAUGAUAAAACGGUGAUUUGAAAUUCAUGAUUGCUGCAUUUUGUUAAUCUUCUGUUAUAUGUCAUUUUGUGGAUUACUAUGGUUUUCAAGUACCCCAGAUUCUGUGGCGAUUUGGCAUCAUCCCAAAACCAACCAGUCUCCAGCGGUGCUACUAUCUCAGUUUGAGUUGGAGUCCUGAGAAUUGUGAAGAGGGGUUUACCUCUAAAACAGCCUUGACGUACGGAGACAGGCAGUAUGGCAUCCAGCACCCUAGCCUUUUCUAUAGCGAUAUGUACGUAAUAGAAACGCAGGAACGCAUCAAACUGUAACAGACGAAGAGCAUAUCAUAUAUGCUCAUCUAGACUAAUUUCUAGAAUGCCAUCGAUUUACAUGGGUUCCUGUUAAGUUUGGCUGAUUCAUUCAUUGAAUAAAUUUCAUUCACCGAUUCCUUAAUCAACAUUGAUAGGUGUAACUUAACUCAACUGAAAGUCGUUGGUUUGUGUGGAACUGAGUUGUAUGUGAUGUGUAAAGCGAAGAAUAUGAUUAUAAUUUGUUAAAAUGUUUUGUCAGCGUUUAGAACUGGAACAAAAAAAUGCAGC